rnacentral:sRNA from 1 species
ACAAAUUUAUUUCGUCCACCUAGUUGUGGACCCGCACGAUAUAUUUUAAUUCGUGAUUAGAUUCUUGCGAGGGAGUAAUUGAAAAAUUGCUCCCUUCGUUUAUAUUUGCCUCUUUCGGGUAUAGUUUUUACAUAACACGAAUAAACUAUCUUUACUUCACCUGCAA